GACAGAGGCCCCAAGCGUUAGGCGGAAUCACUGGGCUUAAAAGCGUGUGUAGGCGGAUGCCUAAGUACCUUGUGAAAUCCCACGGCUCAACCUCGGAACUGCCUUCGAUACUGGCGAUCUUGAGUCCGGGAGAGGUGAGUGGAACUCCGAGUGUAGAGGUGAAAUUCGUAGAUAUUGGAAGAACACCAGUGGCGAAGGCGGCUCACUGGUCCAUUACUGACGCUGAGGAGCGAAAGCGUGGGUAGCAAACAGG
rnacentral:rRNA from 1 species